GAUGAUAUAUCUCCAAGCAAAUUGCCUCUACUCCAUUACUCUCACUUCAAGUCUUUGAUGCUACAGAAUAUUUUCUUCGUUUUGGUUCUGGCUCUCCUAACUGCAGUGAGACAUAAAUCUCCUCAUCUGAUCCAUUCCUUAAUGCUGAAAGAUUUCUGGAUUCCACAUUUCCAUUUCCCUGUUGGUUAUUAACGGGAGACCUUCCGUUGGAACUAGGGAUAAAUUGAUGUUCCACAUUAGAGCCUGCUUCAACCCUAUCUUCAGCUCUAUAUUCGGUACACAUGAUUGGUAGCACAAGCCCUUGCCAGGACUUGUCUUCAGUCAGAACUUGCUGGAUAUUUAAAUUAAUUGGCUCCAAGUUUUCUUCAAUCCUAUCCUUGGAUGGAACCUGGACCAGAGGAGAAGACUCCCCGACUGUAGAAUCAAUCCCAGCUGCGGAAGCAUUUCUUUGAUCUUGCACUGCAGCUGUGUCAAUAAUGAAGACAAAUAGAGAGCGUCAAUGCCGCAGUUCAAGACCAGAUGCAAAAAAUAUUAACCAUAAAGGAACUAUAGUUUGCAGCACGAUUGUUUUGAGAAUACAUACCUUGAAUCCCCUCAUUGGUUGUGAUGAGAUCAAGUUCAAGGAGGUCUAGAAGACGUCCAAGAUCAACUCCGCUAGUCCAAUUUUCUGGGGGUUGGCCAACUUUGAGUUUCAACCGACCCCUGUUAGCAGUCCCACCCCAAAUGAUUCCAACAGGCUGUGGCUUCUCCCCAUUCUGACCCUUUAAUAGUAUGAGGCUUCCACUGUCUCCUUCAAGGUCAAAAGUCUGCUGGUUCUCACCAACUACAAGGAAAUCAGUAAAAAAACAGAUCCCUUUCUCAUCAUUGUACUCUAAAGCAUAUGCCAUUAUUGUCCCAGUGGUCAAGCCGGAGCUUCUUCCCACUUUGACAACUUGCCUCCCAAUGAGACUGCUGAUUGGAGAUUGCAAGUCUAUGAUAUGGACAUCACCAAUCUGACCUAUGCCUUUUAUGGUUGUAGUUACAUUGUUCAUAUUGAAAUCAUCAGCAAACGGAAUAAAAGCCCCAUCUGCCCGCACAAAUGUUUCUGCAGGAGGACCAAACCGUAAUGGGCAUGUAAGGGAGUCAGGACGCAAUGAAAAAUGCAUUAGCACAAAUGUAAAGUUAAACAUAGCAUCCUUCAGGAUUAUGAAACCUAAUAAAUCUUUGAUGAAAUUGAUCCUAGCAUCCUGCAAAGAUUCCAUACCAAAGGUCAUCGGUGAUAAAUGAGGUUGCCCGCUCUACGGCACCAAGGUAAACUCCAGGCCCAAGGUUGGGCGGUAAAGGAUGAAACAUCUUCUGAUUUGGGUAGUCCAAGUCAACUGCAACAUGCCGAUUUGUAAGAAAACCUACCUGCCUAUUUCCUGUUCGGCUCCUCACAAUAGCACCCAGUGUACCAUAUGUUUCUUGGCUCGCAACCUACAUGUGCAAGGAGGAACUGAGUGCAAGACAAGUAAAGAGUUAUAUCAACAUUUCUCAAGAAGUCCAGGGCAGAGUAUGAGAGAGAAAAAGCCAUUUUUUUAUCUAAAGGAUGUGGGAUGGAGUUCGAAAAGGAACUGUACACAUGAUGCCAGCAAAAAGAUACCAAGCAAAUCUAGAAUGAGAACUCAAGCUUGAAGCUGUCGAAAUGUCUCCACAUCUAAGACGGAGAGAUAGAUGAUUGAUUCAGUCACAGUUGUAGCAUAAAUAAAUCAUUAACAAAGCAUACCACCUUCAACACUUCAUUAAUAUUUGCAAUAGAAAACAGGUAACUCUGAAA